rnacentral:rRNA from 1 species
CCUACGGGGUGCAGCAGUGGGGGAUAUUGCACAAUGGGGGAAACCCUGAUGCAGCGACGCCGCGUGGGUGAAGAAGCGCCUCGGCGCGUAAAGCCCUGUCAGCAGGGAAGAAAAUGACGGUACCUGAAGAAGACGCCCCGGCUAACUACGUGCCAGCAGCCGCGGUGACACGUCGGGGGCAAGCGUUAUCCGGAUUUACUGGGUGUAAAGGGGGCGCAGGCGGCGAUGCAAGCCAGGAGUGAAAGCCCGGGGCCCAACCCCGGGACUGCUCUUGGAACUGCGUGGCUUGAGUGCAGGAGGGGCAGGCGGAAUUCCUGGUGUAGCGGUGAAAUGCGUAGAUAUCAGGAGGAACACCGGUGGCGAAGGCGGCCUGCUGGACUGCAACUGACGUUGAGGCCCGAAAGCGUGGGGAGCAAACAGGAUUAGAUACCCCUGUAGUC